rnacentral:rRNA from 1 species
GACGAACGCUGGCGGCGUGCCUAAUACAUGCAAGUCGAACGGUCUUUUCUAUGGAAGCUUGCUUCCACUGGGAAGAUAGUGGCGAACGGGUGAGUAACACGUGGGUAACCUGCCCAUAAGAGGGGGAUAACAUCCGGAAACGGGUGCUAAUACCGCAUAGGUUUCCUGGUCGCAUGAUCGAGAAAGGAAAGACGGCCUUUGUGCUGUCGGUUAUGGAUGGACCCGCGGCGUAUUAGUUAGUUGGUGAGGUAACGGGUCACCAAGACGAUGAUACGUAGCGGACCUGAGAGGGUGAUCGGCCACAUUGGGACUGAGACACGGCCCAAACUCCUACGGGAGGCAGCAGUAGGGAAUCUUCCGCAAUGGACGAAAGUCUGACGGAGCAACGCCGCGUGAGUGAAGAAGGUUUUCGGAUCGUAAAACUCUGUUGUCAGAGAAGAACAAGUCGGAGAGUAACUGCUCCGGCCUUGACGGUAUCUGACCAGGAAGCCACGGCUAACUACGUGCCAGCAGCCGCGGUAAUAC